AGCAGCCGCGGUAAUUCCAGCUCCAAUAGCGUAUAUUAAAGUUGUUGCAGUUAAAAAGCUCGUAGUUGAAUUUCGGGAUCGAAUUGUUGGUCGUGCUUCGGUACGUACUGGCAUUAUUGGUUCCUACCUUCUGAAGAACCGCGAUGUCAUUAAUUUGGUGUCGUGGGGAAUCAGGACUGUUACUUUGAAAAAAUUAGAGUGUUUAAAGCAGGCUUACGCUUGAAUACAUUAGCAUGGAAUAAUGAAAUAGGACGUUUGAUUCUAUUUUGUUGGUUUCUAGGAUCGACGUAAUGAUUAAUAGGGAUAGUUGGGGGCAUUAGUAUUCAAUUGUCAGAGGUGAAAUUCUUGGAUUUAUUGAAGACUAACUACUGCGAAAGCAUUUGCCAAGGAUGUUUUCAUUAAUCAAGAACGAAAGUUAGGGGAUCGAAGACGAUCAGAUACCGUCGUAGUCUUAACCAUAAACUAUGCCGACUAGGGAUCGGAUGAUGUUAAUUUUUAAUGACUCAUUCGGCGCCUUACG
rnacentral:rRNA from 1 species